UAGACGGGGAGCUAGCGGUGCCCUGUAACUCGCAAUCCGCUAUAGCGAGGUCGAACGCCUGCCGAGGCAUUCAGUAUGGAAAGCCGAUACGCAUAAGGAACGUUGAUAGCAAGGUCUCAUACAAUUUUGUGUUGUGAACCGUGUCAGAGUUUGAUCGCAGCAGCACUAAGCAAAUUUCGAAAUGUGUUACGAGGAAACUUUGGAGGAGCCACCUACGCGUAAGCCGAUUCGGUGCCGCACGUCGGAGCGGGUGC
rnacentral:SRP_RNA from 1 species